GCUAUUAGGUUGGUGCAAAAGUAAUCGCGGUUUUUGCCAUUAAUGAAAUGUAAUUAAUUAAUGAAAUGUAAUUAAUGGCAAAAACCGCGAUUACUUUUGCACCAACCUAAUACUUGCUA
ensembl:miRNA